ACAGAGACUAAGCAUGCAGGUACAAUUCAAAUUGAGCUUAAAGGAAUAAGUAAAUAACUUAUUCAUUGAGUUCUGUAAGAGGAGGGAUCACAACACGAUGUCCAGGCACAUGAGGAGACAUAAUGCAGCACUAUAACUGCUUGUGACCGUUGAGGUUGGAUUAUUUGUUUUCCAGUGGCUGAAAAGAAGAUUAUAACCGAGUCUAAGCAUCCUAGAACACGGAGUCUGGAGAGUACUCACUUUAUCACCAAAAGGAAAAAUUGUUUCAACAAGGCCCUGGCCUGCUGUGUUUGCCUAAUGCCAGAGGAGAGACAUGUGUGAGACGUGAUGCUGAUUUCUAAGAGUCUGACCUGACCCUCUGAUACUUCUUGUGGAUGGAACAGAAAACCCUAAAGCAGCGAAAAAAUAGGAGCUUGUCCUUGUUUGAUGGGAGGAACAUAUCAUCAACUAUGAAAUAAAGUUCCCUCUGAGGUAAGAAAAUGUGUAAUU
rnacentral:lncRNA from 12 species